AGAGUUUGAUCCUGGCUCAGAGCGAACGCUGGCGGCGUACUUAACACAUGCAAGUCGAACGGGGAUCGUCAGUGUAGCAAUACAUCGGCGGUUCUAGUGGCGCACGGGUGAGUAACACGUGGGUAACCUGUCCUUGAGUCCGGGAUACCCUUUCGAAAGGAAGGCUAAUACCGGGUACGUUCCUCGGGUUGCGAAAUCUGGGGAGGAAAGGUGGCGAAAGCUACCGCUCUUGGAGGGGCUCGCGGCCUAUCAGCUAGUUGGUGAGGUAACGGCUCACCAAGGCGAUGACGGGUAGCUGGUCUGAGAGGACGACCAGCCACACGGGAACUGAGACACGGUCCCGACUCCUACGGGAGGCAGCAGUGGGGAAUUUUCCGCAAUGGGCGAAAGCCUGACGGAGUGACGCCGCGUGGGGGACGAAGGCCUUCGGGUCGUAAACCCCUGUCAGAGGGAAAGAAGGGUCGCUUGGCUAAUAUCCAAGUGAUCUGACGGUACCUUCAGAGGAAGCCCCGGCCAACUCUGUGCCAGCAGCCGCGGUAAGACAGAGGGGGCAAGCGUUGCUCGGAAUCACUGGGCGUAAAGGGCGCGUAGGCGGGAUGGCAAGUCGGUCGUGAAAUCUCUCGGCUCAACCGAGAAACGUCGGCCGAUACUGCCGUUCUUGAGGGAUGCAGAGGAGACUGGAAUUCCCGGUGUAGCGGUGAAAUGUGUAGAGAUCGGGAGGAACACCGGUGGCGAAGCGGGUCUCUGGGCAUUUCCUGACGCUGAGGCGCGAAAGCGUGGGGAGCAAACGGGAUUAGAUACCCCGGUAGUCCACGCUGUAAACGAUGACGACUAGUGGUGGGGUGGUUCAGUCCAUUCCGUGCCGCAGCUAACGCAUUAAGUCGUCCGCCUGGGGAGUACGGCCGCAGUUGAAACUCAAAUGAAUUGACGGGGCCCGCACAAGCGGUGGAGCAUGU
rnacentral:rRNA from 1 species